rnacentral:lncRNA from 10 species
GCAUGCCAAUGCAUUAUAAUUAACGUAUAAUGAACAGUGAGGACAACCAGAAGUCACUUUUGUCACCAUCUUGGUGGGUUUUGGCUGGCUUCUUUACCGCUAACUGUUUAUCAGCAAGGUCUUUGUGACGUGCACCUUGUGCCCACCUCCUACCUCAUCUUGUGACUAAGAACACCUUAACCUUCUGGGAAUGCAGCCCGGGCUUUCCACACAUUUUAUUGUGAUGAAACUGGAAGAAGCUUUCCUUAAGUAAAGGAAACAUUAGAAGAAACUCAUCACGGGGCCGGGCGCGGUGGCUCACGCCUGGAAUCCCAGCACUUUGGAAGGCGGAGGCGGGCGGAUCACGAGGUCAGGAGAUCGAGACCAUCUUGGCUAACACGGUGACACCCCCUCUCUACUAAAAAUACAAUUAGCCGGGCGUGGUGGUGGGCGCCUGUAGUCCCAGCUACUCGGGAGGCUGAGGCAGGAGAAUGGCGUGAACCCGGGAGGCGGAGCUUGCAGUGAGCCGAGAUUGCGCCACUGCACUUCAGCCUGGGCGACAGAGUGAGAUUCUGUCUCAAAAUAAAUAAACAAACAAACAAAUAAGAAGAAACUCAUCACCAAAGGCCCCAUGGAAUAUCUGCAAUACCCUGAAGACCAUGAUGUUCAGCAGCAACAAGGAAGUGCCACAAGAAAGCAUAACCAUUGAUCAUUGACAAAAUGACUUGGCUCUAUCUGGAUUUAUCUUAACCAAGGAAUUUAGAAGAACAGAAAAAGUAGUGGAGUCAAAUAAAUUCCAGAACACGAAUAGUAGACAUUGUAGAAUCAGAAAUAGUAGAGAUUAAUACCUUUCCUCUCCAUCAUGAGGGGCAUGGCCAACAUUCAUAACAAAAUGAGAGCAGCAGGAGGUAGACAAAUGCCUAAGUAGACAGAGGAAGGUCCCGAGUGAAACCCCACCUUCAAUCCAAAAUCAGCCCGAGACCUGCAACCUAGAGUGAGAUCUUCUAUUCCUGUUUGCCUGCUCUUUCCCAAUUGGUUCUUUCUGAAUAAUGCUUUUAAACUAACCAAAAGUUACCUAUUCCAAUGCUACCUUCGUCCCACCCCUCCCCAUCCUGUGCUUGUAAAAACCCUAGACUCAUCCACACCGGGGGAGAAACCACCUGACUUCGGGUGGGGAAGCUCUCCUGUGACCCCUCUCCACUGAGAGCUGUUUUGUCACUCAAUAAAAUUCUUCUCCACCCUCCUCACCCUUCAAUUGUCAGCAUAUCCUCAUUUUUCUAGGACACAGGACAAGAACUCAGGAAUCACCAGACCCAUAAUAUGAGCUAUAACACAGAUGGGCUGGGGCACACCUGGCCCAGCUGCGGGCUGAGCCAGUGUGCAAGCCAGGCACAGCCUGGGUGGGCUGAGUGGGUGGGCCACCUCCUGCAGCAAGUAGCAUGGCCAAGCAAGGCCCAGGCGGGGGCGUCGCCGGCCGGCGGUUCCCAGCUGGUGAAGUGACUGAGAAAAAUCCUGCAUCAAAAAGACAGGUUAACAAGAAAAAAGCACACCAGUUUAUUCAAAAUUUUAUGUGACACUAAAGCCUUCAGAAAUGAAGACUCAAAGACUCAGGGAAAAGUGUCUAUUUUUAUGCUUGGGUUUGGUGAGGCAUGAACAGCUGUGUAGCAAUGUGAUUGGACAAAAGGGGAAGACCUAAAGAUAAUAGACCGAGUAGGGAAACUCAGCAAAGCUGUACGGAUUCCUCUUGGGCUGUCUGUGGUAUCAUUUCUUCCUUCUUGAUAUGGGGCAGGACCCAUCUGGAUUGAGGGUCUUAUGACCUACUAUUAAAGAGAGGUAGGUCAGAGAAUUUCUUUAUAGUCAGCUCCUAGAGAAAAAGGUGGAGGAAGGUUAGAGCAAUAUUUCUAGAUUUUAUGGCUUGCUAUGGGGCAAAGGGAUUCUAGUUUCUAUGACCACUUUGGGGAAGAGGAAUUCUGGUUUUCAAGAUUCACUUCAGGAGAGAAUGAGGGGUGUGAGAUAGGAGGGCAGGAGAAGGUCAGUGAGACCUUGGUUCUGAGACUGCUACUUAAGCCUUCCAAUGUUCUUUAAAGUACUCAGCAUACAAAAGCACCAUACUUUGAGAUAUCAUUUUUCUGAACCCCAAGAAGAUCAAUGAACAUUUUCUGUAGAGGGGGAAUAAGAUCACAUGAGAACCACAGUUGCACUGAAUUCAGAAUGGUGUUGCAGUACCUUAUGAAGUAUGGUUUUAGCAAUUCUUGUCUCUUCACUGAAAGUUGCGUGUGCAGCUUUUCUGGGACUCAAUGAGACCUGGCUGCAUAAUAUAAUUCCUGUUUUCUUAUGCAGUUUUCUUAUGUAGUUUAGGAAACCUGAGCAAGUCUCUCCAGGUAACAAUCAAAAGAGCCCAUCCGAUGCACAGUUAAUUCUAAACCAUAAAUAUUAAAGGUAUAUUACGUAGGUAGCGGUAUCAAAAGGACAUUGAGUGCUGGCUCUGACACUUACCUGCUGCAUGACCCUAGACAGAUUACUUAACCUCUCUGUAUUUCAGUUUUCUUAAGUAUAAAAUGAUGCUAAUGAGGAAGAAAAUCUAAUAAACCAAUUAAAAAUCAGGCAAAGAUUUAAAUAGACAUUUCUCAAAAGAAGACAUACAAAAUGGCAAACAGACAUAUGAAAAGGUACUCAACAUCUUUUUCCACAGCUUAACCAAGGAAUUUAGAAGAACAGAAAAAGUAGUGGAGUCAAAUAAAUUUUUUGAGGAGAUGGAUAUUCCAUUUUCUGUGAUGUGCUUAUUUCACAUUGCAUGCCAGUAUCAAAACAUCUAAUGUAUCCUAUAAAUAUAUACACCUACUAUGUACCCACAAAAAUUAAAAAUUAUAAAAUAAAAUGAUGAUAAUGAUGGAGUUUACUUCAUGGAAGUUUUCUGUUUAUAUGAUUGGCUUUUUUUUCUCUCUAACAGAUGUUUUUGUUUUUCCUUUGAUUUGAAAGAGUAUUAAAAUAUACUACGAAUAGUAAUUUGUAUAGGCAUUACACAUAUUUGGGGAAAUAUAUUUUAUACACUAGCAUCUUGAUACUCCUGGCCUUGUCUAUAGAUAAGAAUUAUUCUGAUCAAUCCACAAACUGCUACAACAUUAAUCAAAGAGAUUGUUGUGUACC